rnacentral:rRNA from 1 species
CAGCCGCCACGGUAAUACGAAGGGUGCAAGCGUUAAUCGGAAUUACUGGGCGUAAAGCGUGCGUAGGCGGUGAGUUAAGUCUGCUGUGAAAUCCCCGGGCUCAACCUGGGAAUGGCAGUGGAUACUGGCUCGCUAGAGUGUGUCAGAGGAUGGUGGAAUUCCCGGUGUAGCGGUGAAAUGCGUAGAGAUCGGGAGGAACAUCAGUGGCGAAGGCGGCCAUCUGGGACAACACUGACGCUGAGGCACGAAAGCGUGGGGAGCAAACAGGAUUAGAUACCCCCGUAGUCCCUGUCUCUUAUCC